rnacentral:rRNA from 1 species
UACGGGGGGGGCAAGCGUUGUUCGGAAUUACUGGGCGUAAAGGGCUCGUAGGCGGCCAACUAAGUCGAACGUGAAAUCCCUCAGCUUAACUGGGGAACUGCGUCCGAUACUGAUUGGCUUGAAUCCGGAAGAGGGAUGCGGAAUUCCAGGUGUAGCGGUGAAAUGCGUAGAUAUCGGGAGGAACACCAGUAGCGAAGGCGGCUCGCUGGGCCGUUCCUGACGCUGAGACGCGAAAGCUAGGGGAGCGAACAGG